GAUGAACGCUGGCGGCGUGCCUAAUACAUGCAAGUCGAGCGAACAGACGAGGAGCUUGCUCCUCUGACGUUAGCGGCGGACGGGUGAGUAACACGUGGAUAACCUACCUAUAAGACUGGGAUAACUUCGGGAAACCGGAGCUAAUACCGGAUAAUAUAUUGAACCGCAUGGUUCAAUAGUGAAAGACGGAUUUGCUGUCACUUAUAGAUGGAUCCGCGCCGCAUUAGCUAGUUGGUAGGGUAACGGCUUACCAAGGCAACGAUGCGUAGCCGACCUGAGAGGGUGAUCGGCCACACUGGAACUGAGACACGGUCCAGACUCCUACGGGAGGCAGCAGUAGGGAAUCUUCCGCAAUGGGCGAAAGCCUGACGGAGCAACGCCGCGUGAGUGAUGAAGGUCUUCGGAUCGUAAAACUCUGUUAUUAGGGAAGAACAAAUGUGUAAGUAACUAUGCACGUCUUGACGGUACCUAAUCAGAAAGCCACGGCUAACUACGUG
rnacentral:rRNA from 1 species